UAGGGAAUCUUCGGCAAUGGGCGAAAGCCUGACCGAGCAACGCCGCGUGAGUGAAGAAGGUUUUCGGAUCGUAAAGCUCUGUUGUAAGUCAAGAACGAGUGUGAGAGUGGAAAGUUCACACUGUGACGGUAGCUUACCAGAAAGGGACGGCUAACUACGUGCCAGCAGCCGCGGUAAUACGUAGGUCCCGAGCGUUGUCCGGAUUUAUUGGGCGUAAAGCGAGCGCAGGCGGUUUGAUAAGUCUGAAGUUAAAGGCUGUGGCUCAACCAUAGUUCGCUUUGGAAACUGUCAAACUUGAGUGCAGAAGGGGAGAGUGGAAUUCCAUGUGUAGCGGUGAAAUGCGUAGAUAUAUGGAGGAACACCGGUGGCGAAAGCGGCUCUCUGGUCUGUAACUGACGCUGAGGCUCGAAAGCGUGGGGAGCGAACA
rnacentral:rRNA from 1 species